rnacentral:rRNA from 1 species
AGUGAACGCUGGCGACGUGGUUAAGACAUGCAAGUCGAGCGGUAUUGAAGCCGUAGCAAUACGGGUGGAGAGAGAGCGGCGAACGGGUGCAUAACACGUGAGAAAUCUGCCUUGAAGUCCGGAAUAGCCCAGGGAAACUUGGAUUAAUGCCGGAUGUGGCGGCAAGCGGCAUCGCUUGCCUGCUAAAGCUUGUAACGGCGCUUCAAGAGGGUCUCGCGGCCUAUCAGCUUGUUGGUGAGGUAACGGCUCACCAAGGCGAAGACGGAUAGCUGGUCUGAGAGGAUGAUCAGCCACACUGGAACUGAGACACGGUCCAGACACCUACGGGUGCAGCAGUUUCGAAUCAUUCACAUGGGGCAACCUGAUGGUAGCGACGUCGCGUGGGGGAU